AGUUUCGACACUUGGAUUAAUUUGGGGAAUGUAAAAACAAUUCUACAGUUCACUGUAUAAUGUCUGAUUCGGUUUAAUUUCUUCGGAAUUCGGUUGCUAUCUUAUAGAGACUCUUAGUCAUGCUGAUAACAACCUACGACUAUAAAAAAAGGACAACUGUCGAGAAUCGUAGUCACUAGCUGAUCUGUCUGAGGAAUUCACAAAGCCAGCAUUGAUCUACAUCGCAUUCAAACUACUAAAGGUGAAAAAUGAAGUCAACAGUCGCAUUAUGUUACAUUCUGGUGGCCCUUCUUCCGUUGAUGGCUGUCGCGGGCCCACUGGCAUACGGAAUUUGCCAAACCGGAUGCAACGCUGCUGUAGUGGCCUGUUACACCGCAGGCGGGGCUACAUUCGGAACUGUUACCGCCGGUGUCGGAGUUCCUGCCGUUAUAUUGGGCUGCAACGCGGCUCUAGGAGUUUGCAUGGCAGGAUGCGUUGCUGCUGGCUUUGCACCGACCUUGUGAUUAUGUAACUUUUAUUGGGCCGGAUUCCAGCCACUAAAAAUUUUCAGUUUGUUCCCAUGUACUGCAUUGACACCUAUUACGCAUAAUAGACCAUGAAAGAUUUGCCAAGAUUAUAGUACCAGUUAAAAGUUAUAUAAUACACGUUCGCAAAGAAAA